GAUGAAGAACGUAGCGAAAUGCGAUAAGUAAUGUGAAUUGCAGAAUUCAGUGAAUCAUCGAAUCUUUGAACGCACAUUGCGCCCCCUGGUAUUCCGGGGGGCAUGCCUGUUCGAGCGUCAUUUCACCACUCAAGCCUCGCUUGGUAUUGGGCAACGCGGUCCGCCGCGUGCCUCAAAUCGACCGGCUGGGUCUUCUGUCCCCUAAGCGUUGUGGAAACCAUUCGCUAAAGGGUGUUCGGGAGGCUACGCCGUAAAACAACCCCAUUUCUAAGGUUGACCUCGGAUCAGGUAGGGAUACCCGCUGAACUUAAGCAUAUCAAUAAGCGGAGGA
rnacentral:misc_RNA from 1 species